GACGAACGCUGGCGGCGUGCUUAACACAUGCAAGUCGUACGGUAAGGCCCUUUCGGGGGUCCACGAGUGGCGAACGGGUGAGUAACACGUGAGUAACCUGCCCACAACUUUGGGAUAACGCUAGGAAACUGGUGCUAAUACUGGAUAUGUGCUCCUGCUGCAUGGUGGGGGUUGGAAAGCUCCGGCGGUUGUGGAUGGACUCGCGGCCUAUCAGCUUGUUGGUGGGGUAGUGGCCUACCAAGGCGGCGACGGGUAGCCGGCCUGAGAGGGUGACCGGCCACAGUGGGACUGAGAUACGGCCCAGACUCCUACGGGAGGCAGCAGUGGGGAAUAUUGCACAAUGGGCGCAAGCCUGAUGCAGCAACGCCGCGUGCGGGAGGACGGCCUUCGGGUUGUAAACCGCUUUCAGCAGGGACGAAGCUUUUUGUGACGGUACCUGCAGAAGAAGCACCGGCUAACUACGUG
rnacentral:rRNA from 1 species